UGGGGGAUAUUGCACAAUGGGCGAAAGCCUGAUGCAGCGACGCCGCGUGGGGGAUGAAGGCUUUCGGGUUGUAAACCUCUUUCGCUAUCGAACAAGGCCCGCUUAGGGUGGGUUGAGGGUAGGUGGAGAAGAAGCGCCGGCUAACUACGUGCCAGCAGCCGCGGUAAUACGUAGGGCGCGAGCGUUGUCCGGAAUUAUUGGGCGUAAAGGGCUUGUAGGCGGUCUGUCAAGUCGGAUGUGAAAUCCCCGGGCUUAACCUGGGAACUGCAUUCGAAACUGGCAGGCUAGAGUCUUGUAGAGGGGGGUAGAAUUCCAGGUGUAGCGGUGAAAUGCGUAGAGAUCUGGAGGAAUACCGGUGGCGAAGGCGGCCCCCUGGACAAAGACUGACGCUCAGGUGCGAAAGCGUGGGGAGCAAACAGG
rnacentral:rRNA from 1 species